UACGAAGGGGGCUAGCGUUGCUCGGAAUCACUGGGCGUAAAGCGCACGUAGGCGGAUUGUUAAGUCAGGGGUGAAAUCCUGGAGCUCAACUCCAGAACUGCCUUCGAUACUGAGAGUCUCGAGUCCGAGAGAGGUGAGUGGAACUGCGAGUGUAGAGGUGAAAUUCGUAGAUAUUCGCAAGAACACCAGUGGCGAAGGCGGCUCACUGGCUCGGUACUGACGCUGAGGUGCGAAAGCGUGGGGAGCAAACAGG
rnacentral:rRNA from 1 species